rnacentral:rRNA from 1 species
ACACUCCUACGGGAGGCAGCAGUGGGGAAUAUUGGACAAUGGGCGCAAGCCUGAUCCAGCCAUGCCGCGUGAGUGAUGAAGGCCCUAGGGUUGUAAAGCUCUUUCACCGGUGAAGAUAAUGACGGUAACCGGAGAAGAAGCCCCGGCUAACUUCGUGCCAGCAGCCGCGGUAAUACGAAGGGGGCUAGCGUUGUUCGGAUUUACUGGGCGUAAAGCGCACGUAGGCGGACUAUUAAGUCAGGGGUGAAAUCCCGGGGCUCAACCCCGGAACUGCCUUUGAUACUGGUAGUCUUGAGUUCGAGAGAGGUGAGUGGAAUUCCGAGUGUAGAGGUGAAAUUCGUAGAUAUUCGGAGGAACACCAGUGGCGAAGGCGGCCCACUGGCUCGAUACUGACGCUGAGGUGCGAAAGCGUGGGGAGCAAACAGGAUUAGAUACCCCGGUAGUCCCAUG